ensembl:lncRNA
GUGACAAACCCCCAGACAUGCUUUACAUGCAGUUUUAAUGCUCACAAAGUUAACCUCCAUAUCAGCCAAGAAUUAUAUCUGCUCAAACCACACCAUCUUCAUCUUGUCUAAUCUUGACUAAAUGGUUGGAACAGAUGUUUCCCUUCAUGCAGCUCAAGUAGAAACAUUAAUAGGGAAUGUUUUCUGGGUUUUUUUGUUGUUUUUUUUUUUAUACCAAAUUAGCUCAACUACUGUAUGUCUUGAAGACCAUUUUAUAGUAAGGGUUGCUUGGCUUUAUUAACUAAAAACACUAUGAUUGGUAGAACUGCUGACCUCACAGCCCUUACUGCCAUAUUUUAUAGUUAUCACUUUAUUUUUCUUUGUCAGUCAUGUUUGUAAUAAACUUUAAGGUUUUUUUUUUAAUUUAACCAACCUCAUUUCCAAAAAAAAAUAAAAAAUAGCAUUCCUUUAUAGCUUACUGCAUUUGCAUUCGUAUUUUCAAAUCAGCAUAUUUUCAAGACUGUGAUGUUAUAGGAAAGACUUCCAGUUUGAAGCAGCCUAUAGGGUCCAGUCUAGAGGUAGCAGAGACAUAUUAUGAACUAGACCCAUCUUCCUCAAGCUGCCACAGAAUGCAAGUGGUAAAGUUCUGAUAUUUAUGUACACUAUUUACACUAUUUAUAGGAGUGGACACAUGCCAAAACAUGAUCAUCAUAAAAUGACCAAGAUAACCAACAAAAAUAAAUCAGUUUACCUUCCUAAUGUCACAGUCCUGAUGAGAUGAUUAGCAGCAGCUGCAGGACCUGCAGCUGCUGCUGCUAAUCACUCAUCCUCUCACUAUAAAAACUGGUGAUGCAUGCAGUGCAGCACUGGAUCAUUGUCCUCCCCUUCAGUCUCCAUGUAGUGAGACUCAGCCGACAGAGCAGCGUGCGUCUUUCCCCCAGCCGUCCGCCAGAUAGUGGAUGUGGAUGUGGAUGUGGACCCGGACCCUUGCUGUCCCUGCCCCGAUCGGCCGGCCCGCUCCUCGAAGGACCCGGCGUCGUCUCUAGGUUUUCACAUUUCCAUCCUGGAGGAUCCUGCACCGGGACCAGGCCACAUGUCUGAUAAAAACACAAUGGGCACCAAGCGUGGCAUGUUCACCAAAGAGGCCAUUGAGUAGCGUUUGUUGUGUUACACUUCUGUUGUACUGAAUUCGGUAGAGAUGCAGUAUAUUUAAAGCAGGUAUAUUAACGUCACUACCACUGACUUAUUGAUAUGAUGCUAUUUUUUUUUUUUUUUUUAGUAAAAAAUGUCAGAAAUUUCAGUGUCAGCAGAGUAUUCAUCCAACUACUAUACUCUGUACAGAGAGACUGAUUGUGUUUCAAAAUUCUCCCAGGUGUCUACUAUCCAAUGAACACAACAUUGCUCAUUUUGGUCCCACAGCUGUGGAAAUGUCACUAAUUGUAAUUGGAGAUAUUUUUCAGAAGGAAUUUUUUUUUAAAAAAGCAAGAAACAAAAGCUAAGGCUUAUGACGGUAAGGGUGUGGUAAUAUGGAAAUAUGUUAAAAAGCUCUAUUUUCUAGAUUACCAGUGCUGCCCUUUCUAACAGUGACAAUGCCAGGAAAGAUUUUAAAAUGUAAAUGAAGGUUGUAAGAAGCUGCUUGAAAAGCAAAAUGUGACGUUAUUUUUUGGGAGGACACUUCAGGCCUAUUUAUGGUUAACAAUGAGCACCCCAACUACAAUUAUUAAUAGAAAUUUUGCAUGAAAAAUUACCCAGUGCAGCACUUUACAUUUAUAGUUCUGUAUUUCCUCACCAUCUUCCCUGCACUUUAAACCUCAUUCAUUUGGGACAAGUACACACAGUGACCUCUCGUAAUUUGUGAUAAUUGCAGUCAUCUGUGAUCUAAAUCUCAUGAAAGACUGCCAUGUGUGUAAUUUGCAGAGUAAAAACGUCACCACACAUUACCUCCCAUAAUUUUUGACAAACAAAGAUAUGUUCAGUGAUGAUAUUAUUCUCAUGUGAAUCAGUAUUUUAAGAAUGAUGCUUAAACGACUGCAUCCAAUUGUAACAUUGAAUAGAGAAGGUGCUCAGAGUGGGCUGUGAAUGUUUCAGAGAAAAACCCAUAAUACUAUCAUUAAAUUACCUGAUC